ACACAUUCCAGGCAAUCAGCAGCAGACCCUCCCUCCCAGACCUUCCCACCUCCUGGACAGCUCACUAAGAAUGCAGCUUCAAAAUGGAUGCUGUCCAGGAGGUGGGAGGGUCUGGGAGGGAGGGUAUGCUGCUGAUUGACUGGAGUCC
rnacentral:miRNA from 1 species